rnacentral:lncRNA from 1 species
CUGGGGCUUGAGACCCAUUGGGACUGUGUCAAAUAACGCAGGGCGUCCUGACUAGCGUUAAAAUAGGGAAAAUUGAAUGGGAACUAGAAGCCAUGCGCACUUUUUCAUGCCUGCAUUAGAGCCCUGUAUCUUGACUAUGGGCCAGGUGCACUCCUUGCAGGGACCUAGUACCCUCUUGACCUUGCUGGGGCCUGCAGUGGGCCCUGAGGAGAUGCUUGUGUGAUGAAGGAAGAAUGGGCAGACAAGGGAGUGAGCAGUAAGGAAUUACAUGAAAUAGACUUGAUCGGAUUCCUGUGUCCUUUGCAAGAACCAGUAGCAAUACUGCAAAUGGCCAAAUAUAUCUGUGUUUCGUGAAGUCAUGUGUUUUCUAUAUCCCAGUCUACGGGAGUACAAAUUUGCGUAUCUGAUGCAUCUUAUCCUGAUGAAGUCUGGCAUGCAACACUGUCCCAGAAGCAGCGAAACAGCCUCAGAAACAAGUGUUCCUGUGACAAAGCUCCCACGCAUUUUCAUCAGUGAGUCAACGUAUGAAGCAUAAGAACAAUUUGAUUACAAUAAUGUGGCGCAACACAACAUACAGCUUGUUGUUCAAACACAUUUGAAUUGUUAUUUUUGUGUCCAUGUCAGAUUAGUUUUUUGUAUAUUCAUUCCAAAUUAUUGAUCACACCAAAAUUCACGUAUGAUGAGGAGGUAACAGUGGAAGCAAAACACAUAAAAGUGAGAGAAAGAAGAUGGACAGAAAGUUUAAAACAUUAAAAAUUAUCUCUAUAUCAUAAUGGACACUGAAAAUUCUUACUGUCAAAAUCAUGAAGAAAAAGAAUGAUAAUAGCCAAGAAAAACAGAUAAUGAAACUUAGCACAGCAGAUAAAGAAGAUUGUGAGACUCAGGAACACCCCCAGACAGGAAACCAGAAGCAGAAGGAAGAUGAUAUAAGAAAGAAAAAGUCUGUAUGUUCAACAGAUAUACACAAAGGCCUCCAACCACUACUUGACAGAAGCCUUGGGCUAGAAAUCACUCAGCUUUACUGGCUGCUUCUCAACAGCCCAAUAAUGUUGAUGAGGCUCUCCAGAAGGUUCUCAGAUAGAAAAAGCUGAAACUGUUCCUGAGGCUAUUAAGUUGGAAUGCCCUUGCUCUAAUCUCUAAAGAGUCAAACCCACGAGGCUUACUGGGCUGCUUGGACCGGCAGUGACUGAACCUCUAACUGGAGGAGCCGAACAAUGAAAAACAAAGCUGGCACAAGUCCUGGCUACGAAAAGCGAUGUCCUAAUUUGGGUGCAGUUCUAAGAAUACUCUAAGUAAUAAUCCAGCUGGCUCUGUGUCUAUGAGUGACAGAGCAUCACAGCCUUGUGAUAACGGAUUCUCUCAUUUCUCCCUAGAUUUUUUCCCUUAUUACCAUGGUUUGGAACCCACAUAGAGUCUUAGACAAUUAAAACAGCACACAUGAGUGUGUUUAUAUGAGGAGGUGGGAGACAGCUGUGAGUCUUUUAAGGGUGGGGCCGGAGGGAUUGGGCAAUAGGCAGAGGUAUUUAUUUUUAAGUGGAAAAAGAGAGCAAGUCUCUCGAUACCACCAGCCCACUGCCAAACUCAGGCAGAACCGACCACCGUUUCUUCUUGGCUGCUACCAUUCCUUGCUCAGCAUGUCAGCUGCGUGGAAGGAGGCAGUAGAGGCUGUGCGGUGUGGGAGCGUGCCCAGGAGACAGGGUAAAUCGCUGCUGGAGCAUGGGGUCCCAGAGGAGACAGGAGGGACUGACUGCAACAGCAUGGGAGAGAAAUUAG